rnacentral:rRNA from 1 species
AUUGAACGCUGGCGGCAGGCUUAACACAUGCAAGUCGAGCGGGGGAAGGUAGCUUGCUACCGGACCUAGCGGCGGACGGGUGAGUAAUGCUUAGGAAUCUGCCUAUUAGUGGGGGACAACAUCUCGAAAGGGAUGCUAAUACCGCAUACGUCCUACGGGAGAAAGCAGGGGAUCUUCGGACCUUGCGCUAAUAGAUGAGCCUAAGUCGGAUUAGCUAGUUGGUGGGGUAAAGGCCUACCAAGGCGACGAUCUGUAGCGGGUCUGAGAGGAUGAUCCGCGACACUGGGACUGAGACAAGGCCCAGACUCCUACGGGAGGCAGCAGUGGGGAAUAUUGGAAAAUGGGGGGAACCCUGAUCCAGCCAUGCCGCGUGUGUGAAGAAGGCCUUAUGGUUGUAAAGCCCUUUAAGCGAGGAGGAGGCUACUUUAGUUAAUACCUAGAGAUAGUGGACGUUACUCGCAGAAUAAGCACCGGCUAACUCUGUGCCAGCCGCCGCGGUAA